rnacentral:rRNA from 1 species
GACGAACGCUGGCGGCGUGCUUAACACAUGCGAGUCGAACGGAAAGGCCCUGCUUUUGUGGGGUGCUCGAGUGGCGAACGGGUGAGUAACACGUGAGUAACCUGCCCUUGACUUUGGGAUAACUUCAGGAAACUGGGGCUAAUACCGGAUAGGAGCUCCUGCUGCAUGGUGGGGGUUGGAAAGUUUCGGCGGUUGGGGAUGGACUCGCGGCUUAUCAGCUUGUUGGUGGGGUAGUGGCUUACCAAGGCUUUGACGGGUAGCCGGCCUGAGAGGGUGACCGGCCACAUUGGGACUGAGAUACGGCCCAGACUCCUACGGGAGGCAGCAGUGGGGAAUAUCGCACAAUGGGCGGAAGCCUGAUGCAGCAACGCCGCGUGCGGGAUGACGGCCUUCGGGUUGUAAACCGCUUUCGCCUGUGACGAAGCGUGAGUGACGGUAAUGGGUAAAGAAGCACCGGCUAACUACGUG